CCAUUUGAAAUGAGGAUUAGAGGUAACUGAACCAUUGAUGAAGAUCAGAAGGUUCAGUUUCCUCUAAUAUCUCACCUUGAAUGG
rnacentral:pre_miRNA from 1 species